UACGAAGGGGGCUAGCGUUGCUCGGAAUCACUGGGCGUAAAGGGCGCGUAGGCGGACGAUUAAGUCGGGGGUGAAAUCCUGGGGCUCAACCUCAGAAUUGCCUUCGAUACUGGUUGUCUCGAGACCGGAAGAGGUAAGUGGAACUGCGAGUGUAGAGGUGAAAUUCGUAGAUAUUCGCAAGAACACCAGUGGCGAAGGCGGCUUACUGGUCCGGUUCUGACGCUGAGGCGCGAAAGCGUGGGGAGCAAACAGG
rnacentral:rRNA from 1 species